GUAAAUAGCAUGGGCCCCCAGGAGGUGUGGCCGGAGGAUCCCUGAGAGCUCCGGUCACUUAACAGCCUCUCUGCUUCCCCGAGAUUUCACCUGGAGACCUUCAUUUCUUUGGGUCUGAAAUCCUUUUUGAUUUUCCAAAAUACUCUAGUUAAAAUGACAAUACCUCUGAGAGUGGUCACAUGAAACUUUGAGCCUACGCAUCAGCUAAAAGCUUAAGCGAAGGAGCAGAGAGUGAGGCCUUAGGAAAAGGGCACAGGAUGCACAAAGGUGGGCAAGAAGCAAGUGUGGACUCUGAAGCGGGAACCCACUUUGACUCCAUGGUGAUUUCACCUAAGGCCAGUGGGAAAGGGAGAAUAUUGUGUCUGCUGUUUACGGGUGUAUUACAAAUUACUCUGACACUUAGAAGCUUAAAGCAACAAUAAACAUUUAUCAUCUCACCCAGUUUCUGUGGGUCAAGAAUCUGAGAAUGGCUUAGUUAGGUGGUUCUGACUCCAGAUGUCUCGUGAGGGUGCAGGUGAGAGUGGGCUGGGGCCACAGUUUCAUCUGAAGGCUUGGCUGGGGCAGAAGGAUCUGCUCCAAGUUGACUCACUCACCUGGCUAUCGGCAAGAUGAUGCUGGCCAAUAGCAGGAGGCCUCAGUCCCUCCCCACAUGGACCUCCCCAUGGGGCUGCUUGCGUGUCCUCACAACGUGCUGGUCAGCUUCCUUCAGAGCAAAUGAGCUGAGAGGGAUUAAGAGAGAGAGAGCCGGCAGGAGCAAAGAGGAGGCUGCAGUGCCUUUUGUGACCUCACCUUAGCAGUCACACUCCUCCAUUUCUGCAGUGUCCUGCUGGCUACCCUCUUCAGUGUGGGCAGGUCCUACACGAAGGUGUGAACACCAGGUGGAGAUUGGUGGGAGCCAUCUUGGACGCUGACUUAUGGCUACCACAAGCAUCAUCUUUAUUUUACAGGUGACAAAGUGGAAGCACAAAGAGCUGAACUGAAUGUAUUUAGGAUUUUUUGUGAGGCAGGGAUCGCUCUAGAACAUUCUACACUAGAACACUAGGACAUUCCUAGAAGCAUUUAUGACAGAGUCUGGCAUCUAGCAGGCAUUCAACAAACACUUGAUGGAUGAGACGUGUCAAUGGGUGGUUGCUCGAGAAAAGAGAAUGGUUCUUGAACCUCAGUCCAUUUGUUUACUGUUCUAUGAGAUGUCUUUAGGGAGAAGAGAGAGGAACAGGAUUUUGCUUUGGUGGAUUUCUCCUAUCACUGACUUCUUGUGAUGGUGGCCGACUGUUCAGUGAGUCUUCUGUUUCUUUAAGGCCCGAAUCUUCUGGCGUGUUGUUGAAGGGAAAGGGUGAGUGGAAGCUCCAGAGUGAGGAGCCCUCCCCUCCUUCAGAUGAUAAAAGGGUCACUUUAAUUGAAAUAGAGUUAUAACUGUUUGCCAGAUUUAAGCAUAGGCCCUCUCAUAUGUCAGACCCUUGGAGCAGAGAGAUUAUAUAUCCGGGCAGCAUCUAUAUAAAUAGAACCACUGCUUCUUCAAGGGAAGCUGGAGGACGACGUGAAAUAAUGGACAGAGCCUGCACCGGACAUACAAGAAUGGCUAAAAUUGCAAGAAAAGAAACCCGUCAAUACCAAACGUGGCAAUGCUUGGAGCAGCUGGAACUCUCCUACACUGAAGGUUGAAUAAACGUGAUACCAGGUGGAAGCUCAGAUCUACACGAGGAAUGAAGAAUGCCGGAAAUCAUAAAUAUAUGCUGAACUGCCAGAACCCAUGGACAUUUAGGACUCGAGUAAAUCACAGGACAAUAAGAGCAACCAAGUACGGCCUCGUCCAAGUACAGCUUUGCAGGUUUUCUGCCCUCUUUUCUGGAAGGUGCACAAUGCUCGGCUCUGUGGUUAUUUUCGCCUAACAGCUGUGUUUCCGGUGAGCAGCUGGGAGAUGCUUCUGACUCAGCAGAACUGGAGCAGUAACCGUCAAGAAGCCGCUCAAGCGAGGCUAGAAAUCAAGAAGCAGUUUCCCCCUCAGUCCCCGUCCUUUCACUUCCCCACCCGUGGGCACCUUUUGAAAGUCUCACAGAGCACUUCUGAAAAACCGCUUGGACCCGCGUGCUCGAGGCCUGGCUGGAGGUGGGCCCGCAGCUAGGCUUUCCGAAAACAGAUGGAUUCCGGAAAGGACUGUGCCAAACCCACCGGCUUUGUUUGGAAGGCCCCUCCCAGGAGGCCCCCCCUUCCCCGCGCGGCUUGUAUCUUACAAGUUUCCCACAGGUCUGAGCAGUGAAAGCAGAGGCGGUCGGGACUUCUGUGGUUUUCCAGGGUGGGGCCCAUGUUGCCUUCCCCAGGCUGGGGUGGCUUAGGUUCUGCAGCUCGCCUGUUUUUCAGAGGUGAUGAUUUCGCCCUGGGUCUGGGAGGCGGCUCCAAAUUUCUACCCACUGGCCCUGGAUUCCAGCCCUGACCUCGAGGGGGGCGCUAGAAGUCCUGCCCGCAGCGGGAAGGGAGCAAACCAGAGAGGACCUGGCGUCCUGGAGAGCUGGCCUCUGUGCAUGCUGGUGCCUGCAAAGGGCUCACGGGAGAGGGAGACAGCUGCACCCGGAGCGCCUUGCUGCUGUUCCGAGAAAGAAAGGAACAAAUAAAUUUAGCUCCAACCUACGCAUCCUUCACAGCUGCUUAUUGACCAAACAGAAAGGGGCCUCUCUUUCAACCCUGGCUUCUCAGCUCUGUGCCCAAGGAGGUCUGCCACGGCCCGCACAAGGGGCUUUUCUGGGAGGUAACCGACCCCGGCCACCUUUAGCUCUGGGCUGGGCGUUGCACAAGAGCUCAGGUUCAAGGUGCGUGGUGCUUUUGGCCAUCCUGAAACAAAAUGGUGGCCGGGAAGCGUUUCCACCCGGGCCUUGCUCAGCUCCUGGAACUUCUCAUGCGCGUCUUUGGGAGGCAGAGCAUGGGGCAGGCUUGAGGGAUGUGUGGCUGCUCCAAGGCCAGCCGAUAGCUCCCUGAGCCAUUAGUUUAAUAGCACCAUUCGUGGGAAUAAAGAACUCGCUGACGGGGGUCCGCAAGUUAAGAGACUGGAACGAAGUGCUGAAGAGGUUUCAGGCAGCUCGCCAGUGUGGAGGGGCUCCUGUGGGACAGGGAGGGCCGGCCCUGUGCUUCCAGUCACCGGAGUCUGGCUCAAGUCCUAGCUCCACCGCCUAAGGGCAGGGUGCCUCUGGGCAGGGAGAGCUGGCUCCUCACCUGGAAGUGAGAUGCUGGCCGUGACACUGGGCCCUUCUGAGCCUUGGCUCCUUACCUGGGAAGCAGAGAUAGUGUUCUAAGCUUGUCAUGAGGAUUAAAGGACAUCGUGUCCCGAGCAUGCCUGGCCCAGUUCUUGGUGUGCCAGGAGGGCCUGUGGUAACUGUUUCACCUGCCCGGGCCUGUUGUCUUCCCUUCUGGCCACGGCGUCCCACUGUCUCUCCUCCUGCUCUUCUCCAUAAGAUUUGGGGAUCACCUUACUCUCAAACUCUGAAGAUGAGCACGUAGCCCAGGCCAAAUCAUGGACAGUCCCACACACCCCUGGCCAUAGUGAUUAGUUUCUGGAUGUGCAUGGGACCCAAGCUGGGACAAUCAGAGCCAACUUUAGGAAUGUUAUUGGAACUAUUAGGACAGAGAAAAUCUUUCUUCUGGGUUUCUAAGAGGUCAAGGUUUAAAUGUGGUGCUGCUGGUGGCUGUCUUUGUAUAAAGGAGGGAAGAAUCUGCCAACAGGAGAAGGAAGCCAACAGAGAGAAAAACAAACAUGAGGUGACUGUGUCCUGACCAUUUGACCCCUUGAUCCAGCCAUACCUGAACCCAUCACUCCUUAAACUUCCCAGUUAUCUGAG
ensembl:lncRNA